rnacentral:rRNA from 1 species
CCCUUAGAUGUCCUGGGCCGCACGCGCGUUACACUGAUGCAUUCAACGAGCUUAUAACCUUGGCCGAGAGGCCUGGGCAAUCUUGUUAACGUGCAUCGUGAUAGUGAUAGAUUAUUGAAAUUAUUAAUCUUGAACGAGGAAUUCCUAGUAAACGCAGAUCAUCAAUCUGCAUUGAUUACGUCCCUGCCCUUUGUACACACCGCCCGUCGCACCUACCGAUUGGAUGGUCCGGUGAAGCCUCGGGAUUGUGGUUCUUGCCGCUUUAUUGUGGCGUGACCGCGAGAACUUGUCUAAACCUUAUCAUCUAGAGGAAGGUGAAGUCGUAACA